rnacentral:rRNA from 1 species
CCUACGGGAGGCAGCAGUGGGGAAUUUUGGGCAAUGGGCGAAAGCCUGACCCAGCGACGCCGCGUUGGGGAUGAAGUCCUUCGGGGCGUAAACCCAUGUUGUAGGGGAAGAAGAAAGUGACGGUACCCUACGAGAAAGCCCCGGCCAACUACGUGCCAGCAGCCGCGGUAAAACGUAGGGGGCGAGCGUUGUCCGGAAUUACUGGGCGUAAAGGGCAUGCAGGCGGUGCGCCAAGUCGGGGGUGUAAAGUUACGGCUCAACCGUGACCUUGCAAUCGAAACUGGCGCACUGGAGUGCGGGAGAGGGAAGUGGAAUUCCCGGUGUAGCGGUGAAAUGCGUAGAUAUCGGGAGGAACGCCAGUGGCGAAGGCGGCUUCCUGGCCCGCGACUGACGCUCAUGUGCGAAAGCCAGGGGAGCGAACCGGAUUAGAUACCCGGGUAGUCCUGGCCGUAAA